rnacentral:lncRNA from 1 species
UGCAAAUCAAGGGACACGCGUUUAUGCAAACGAGGGGCUGGGUGGGCUUUGCGCGAAUGAGAGCCUCAGAAACCUGCAUCUCUCCUCCAAGAGCCUUAACGCGGCCGUGUUUGGCUUUGUAUGGCAUCUGGAAGAAGAGGAGCCCCUUCUCUCUGGCCCGGGGUGCUGGAGCCCAUGCCCAGCUCUCCAAGUCAUCGCCAGUGCCCGGCUGUAACGCUUUCCAGGGGAUCUUUUGGCGAGGGCAGCCAUACAGAUGGAGCUCUUGCAGAAUACGUGAUAUUGUUGUGAGAUGAGUUAAACACCAUUGAACCCGCUCACAGCCGCCCUUCGUUUGAGCAGUGUCUGAAAAGAGUUGAGGACUGAACGGAGAAAAAGAAAGAGCAACCUCUCAUCCCUACAGCUGGUUCUUCUGUGUCAGGAACUGAGGCAUGCUUCAUUGUCGGUCAUUCUCAGAAAAGGGCUUCCAUCUUCAGGAUGCCAAACACAUGGCUAGCAUAGGCAAUGGAGAUACAGUAGCAUAACCAGCUCUUAGCACUGAUGCAAAGGAGGUACCAGAAUGGGGGAAGCCCAUGCUGUGGCAUGUAAGACAUUGCCCACUCCUAUGCCCCCUGCUCUCUGGCACUUGUCACAGUACCUCUUCUGCCUCCCUCCUCGGCUCAGGGCACCAAAACAGCUAGCUAUGCCUUUGAGCUGAAAAUACAUUUUGCACCCAAAUUCAUCUCAGGUGCAAUUCUGCUGAAAUCAAGCUGUCAUAUAAAUUUAACUGAAGGGGGCCUUCCAUGUUCUCCAAGAGCCUAAUCUUGCUCCCAUUGAAUUUGCCGUUGCCUCUACUGAGAACAGAAUCAGGCUGGUACAGAAAGCAUGAGCAACUUUAAGCUCUUUCUUUUGGGGGGAAAAAGUUACUUUUUCUUUUGCAUGAAAAUCAUUCAAAAGAUAUCCCUAUGUUGUUGCCUUGCCCGGGGGAGUAAAUAAAACAUCCUGGUUCUGUGCGUUAGUGUAGCA